rnacentral:rRNA from 1 species
AACGAACGCUGGCGGCAGGCUUAACACAUGCAAGUCGAACGCGUGUAGCAAUACACGAGUGGCGCACGGGUGAGUAACGCGUGGAUAUCUGCCUUUUGGUUCGGAAUAACUCCGGGAAACUGGAGCUAAUACCGGAUGGUUCCUUCGGGAUAAAGAUUUAUCGCCAAAAGAUGAGUCCGCGUACGAUUAGCUAGUUGGUGAGGUAAUGGCUCACCAAGGCGACGAUCGUUAGCUGGUCUGAGAGGACGAUCAGCCACACUGGGACUGAGACACGGCCCAG